rnacentral:rRNA from 1 species
UAGUUAACCUGCCCCAAAGAAGAGGAUAAUUGAUGGAAACGUCUUGUAAUACUCUAUAUGCCUUUAUUACAUAAGUAAGCAAGGGAAACAUUUAUGGCUUUGGGAUGGGACUGUACAGUAUCAGCUUGUUGGUGAGGUAAUGGCUCACCAAGGCAAUGACGCUUAACUGGUUUGAGAGGAUGAUCAGUCACACUGGAACUGAGACACGGUCCAGACUCCUACGGGAGGCAGCAGUGGGGAAUAUUGCACAAUGGAGGAAACUCUGAUGCAGCAACGCCGCGUGGAGGAUGACACUUUUCGGAGCGUAAACUCCUUUUAUAUGAGAAGAUAAUGACGGUAUCAUAUGAAUAAGCACCGGCUAACUUCGUGCCAGCAGCCGCGGUAAUACGAGGGGUGCAAGCGUUACUCGGAAU